rnacentral:tRNA from 1 species
CCUUAUAGUUGAAUUAACAACAUUAAAUUGCAGCUUUAAAAGUGUAGCCAUACUAAGGUUU